rnacentral:antisense_RNA from 1 species
CGGGCCGUGUACUCCCAGAUGGCGUCCGGGUCGAGGAGCGCCUGGUCGCCGAAGUAGGCGCCGUCGGCGAGGACUCCGAGGACCGCGUCGUCACCGUACGGACCGGUGCCGACCUUCUCCGCCCUGCCGUGUGCCAGCAGGAAGACCUCGUCGGUCGGGCUGCCGAACUCCGCGAUCACGUCCCCCGGGUUGAACUCGCGUUGCUCGCAGCGCCGGGCGAGCUCGGUGAGCACGUCCUCGUCCUCGUAGGACCGCAGCGCGGGGAGUUCACGCAACUCGUCGGGGAUCACCUCGACGCGGUCGCCGGUCUUCACGAAGGUGACCCGGCCGUCACCCACGGCGUACGUGAGCCGUCGGUUCACCCGGUACGUGCCGCCCUGCACAUUCACCCAGGGCAGCGUGCGCAGCAGCCAGCGGGAGCUGAUCUCCUGCAUCUGGGGUGCGGACUUGGUGGUGGUGGCCAGGUUCCGCGCGGCCGCCGUGCCGAGGCUCUGCUGCGGCCUGU